rnacentral:rRNA from 1 species
UACGGAGGGUGCAAGCGUUAUUCGGAAUUACUGGGCGUAAAGCGCGUGUAGGCGGGAAGGUAAGACUGAUGUGACAGCCCUUGGCUCAACCUGGGAAGUGCAUUGGAUACUGCUUUUCUUGAGUUCUGGAGAGGAUGGGGGAAUUCCCGGUGUAGAGGUGAAAUUCGUAGAGAUCGGGAGGAAUAGCAGUGGCGAAGGCGCCCAUCUGGACGGCAACUGACGCUGAGACGCGAAAGCGGGGGGAGCAAACAGG